rnacentral:rRNA from 1 species
UGAUCAGGUUGAAGUCAGGGGAAACCCUGAUGGGAGACCGAAACAGUUCUGACGUGCAAAUCGAUUGUCAGAAUUGAGUAUAGGGGCGAAAGACCAAUCGAACCAUCUAGUAGCUGGUUCCUUCCGAAGUUUCCCUCAGGAUAGCUGGUGCAUUUUAAUAUUAUAUAAAAUAAUCUUAUCUGGUAAAGCGAAUGAUUAGAGGCCUUAGGGUCGAAACGAUCUUAACCUAUUCUCAAACUUUAAAUGGGUAAGAACCUUAACUUUCUUGAUAUGAAGUUCAAGGUUAUGAUAUAAUGUGCCCAGUGGGCCACUUUUGGUAAGCAGAACUGGCGCUGUGGGAUGAACCAAACGUAAUGUUACGGUGCCCAAAUUAACAACUCAUGCAGAUACCAUGAAAGGCGUUGGUUGCUUAAAACAGCAGGACGGUGAUCAUGGAAGUCGAAAUCCGCUAAGGAGUGUGUAACAACUCACCUGCCGAAGCAACUAGCCCUUAAAAUGGAUGGCGCUUAAGUUGUAUACCUAUACAUUACCGCUAAAGUAGAUGAUUUAUAUUACUUGUGAUAUAAAUUUUGAAACUUUAGUGAGUAGGAAGGUACAAUGGUAUGCGUAGAAGUGUUUGGCGUAAGCCUGCAUGGAGCUGCCAUUGGUACAGAUCUUGGUGGUAGUAGCAAAUAAUCGAAUGAGACCUUGGAGGACUGAAGUGGAGAAGGGUUUCGUGUGAACAGUGGUUGAUCACGAGUUAGUCGGUCCUAAGUUCAAGGCGAAAGCCGAAAAUUUUCAAGUAAAACAAAAAUGCCUAACUAUAUAAACAAAGCGAAUUAUAAUACACUUGAAUAAUUUUGAACGAAAGGGAAUGCGGUUCCAAUUCCGUAACCUGUUGAGUAUCCGUUUGUUAUUAAAUAUGGGCCUCGUGCUCAUCCUGGCAACAGGAACGACCAUAAAGAAGCCGUCGAGAGAUAUCGGAAGAGUUUUCUUUUCUGUUUUAUAGCCGUACUACCAUGGAAGUCUUUCGCAGAGAGAUAUGGUAGAUGGGCUAGAAGAGCAUGACAUAUACUGUUGUGUCGAUAUUUUCUCCUCGGACCUUGAAAAUUUAUGGUGGGGACACGCAAACUUCUCAACAGGCCGUACCAAUAUCCGCAGCUGGUCUCCAAGGUGAAGAGUCUCUAGUCGAUAGAAUAAUGUAGGUAAGGGAAGUCGGCAAAUUAGAUCCGUAACUUCGGGAUAAGGAUUGGCUCUGAAGAUUGAGAUAGUCGGGCUUGAUUGGGAAACAAUAACAUGGUUUAUGUGCUCGUUCUGGGUAAAUAGAGUUUCUAGCAUUUAUGUUAGUUACUUGUUCCCCGGAUAGUUUAGUUACGUAGCCAAUUGUGGAACUUUCUUGCUAAAAUUUUUAAGAAUACUAUUUGGGUUAAACCAAUUAGUUCUUAUUAAUUAUAACGAUUAUCAAUUAACAAUCAAUUCAGAACUGGCACGGACUUGGGGAAUCCGACUGUCUAAUUAAAACAAAGCAUUGUGAUGGCCCUAGCGGGUGUUGACACAAUGUGAUUUCUGCCCAGUGCUCUGAAUGUCAAAGUGAAGAAAUUCAAGUAAGCGCGGGUCAACGGCGGGAGUAACUAUGACUCUCUUAAGGUAGCCAAAUGCCUCGUCAUCUAAUUAGUGACGCGCAUGAAUGGAUUAACGAGAUUCCUACUGUCCCUAUCUACAAGAUUUGCCGAGGUCGCAGGAAGUGCACGGAGAUUGGGUGCCUCCGCGUGAAUGGCGAGCUGAUCACUGAUUGGGGUGACUGCGCACGAGUGCUCCUCCGCAAUUUUUUCCCAGUUGCGGAGUCCGAAGCACCGACUGCCAUCGCGGAGGAAGUCCCACCGGCCCUCGAAGUAUUCGAGGUUGAUACAUGUGUUGCCCGGCUGAAGAGCAGGCGCUCUCCCGGGUUGGACGGCAUCAAUGGCACUAUCUGCAAGGCAGUCUGGCGCGCCAUACCCGAGCACCUAGCAUCAUUGUUUUCCCGAUGCAUCCGAUUGGGAUACUUUCCAGCCGAGUGGAAGUGCCCACGAGUUGUCUCGUUGCUCAAAGGGCCAGAUAAGGACAAGUGUGAGCCCUCCUCAUACAGAGGAAUAUGCUUGCUACCAGUCUUUGGAAAGGUGCUCGAGGCCAUCAUGGUGAAUCGUGUGAGAGAAGUUCUUCCGGAAGGCUGCAGAUGGCAAUUUGGAUUUCGCCAAGGACGAUGUGUGGAGGAUGCUUGGAGGCACGUGAAGAGCAGUGUUGGCGCCAGCCCGGCGCAAUACGUGCUCGGCACAUUCGUGGACUUCAAAGGAGCAUUCGACAACGUCGAAUGGAGUGCUGCACUCAGCCGACUAGCCGACUUGGGAUGCCGGGAAAUGGGCUUGUGGCAGAGCUUUUUCUCCGGCCGAAGAGCAGUGAUCCGAAGCAGUUCCGGUACUGUGGAGGUACCGGUAACUAGAGGCUGCCCGCAGGGAUCAAUCAGCGGCCCAUUUAUCUGGGACAUACUGAUGGAUGUACUGCUUCAGCGUCUCCAGCCGUAUUGCCAGCUGAGUGCAUACGCGGAUGACUUGCUGCUUCUCGUCGAGGGAAAUUCCCGA